UUGAAUCUACAAUAUCCAGAUAUGCGCUCGCUUGCCGGAGUCUUCCGCUGCCACCGUGUCUGGUCUCGACCAACAGAGACGAUGAGAAGCUGCCAAGGGAUUCUACGAAUCCGUGGGCUCACGAUGAAGCCACCAGUAGCGAUUUCUCCAGCCGUCCGUUGCUGGAGAAGCUAACCCGACGAGCUUCGAGAGUAUCUAUGGCCGCUCAUCAUUGCUGCGCUACCAGAGGUCGUCUUGGCGUCCGAAAUUCUCAUAGAUGUCAAGGUUCCGGAGGAGCCGGAAGGACUUCAAGAUUAAGACUUCGCUGAAGGUCCAACUUAAUCGAAUGAAAAGGCUUCUGGAUGCCCCAGAAAGGUGAGGACAUCCUAUUUGUGCUCAGGGUCACAGAUGAGUUCGAGAUCGUUUGGAUUUAAAUGGCGGCGGCCCCCGCUUAUCUCCAAUUUUGAUGCCACUAUACAGACAAGCGUAGACGGGAUGGACUCCAAUUCGGUUGCAGAUUCGAUCAAGGAGACCUAAGCCACCCCGAUUGUAAUUUCUGGAGAAGAAUCCCCCAUCCACCAGGUCAGAUCGACGCGGCUGCUGCCGAUUUAGUGUCGGAUGGGGAACAGCGGCUGGCCGCGGGAGGAAGAAGAAGCUGCGCUGCGGUCCCACCUGUCAGCGGUACAGAGAGAGGGAAAGAUGAGGCGCGACGAUGGGCUAUGGGCCUGCUUUGGCCCAGCACAGAGAGUGGACGGCACUGAUUGACUUGGGCGGGAGCGCAGUCUCGGUCCAAGGAAAAGAAAAGCCUGCAGAGCUUCAGCCGGAGGAGGGUUGGAAAGAGAAGAAGAGCCCAAGGGAGAGAGAGAG